AAAUAAAAAAAUAAAUAAAUAAAAAAAUAAAUAAAUAAAUAAAAAAAAUAUGCAUGUAUGUUUGUGCGUAAGAAUACAUUUACAUCUAUUUAUAUACCGUUUUUUUAAUGUGAUAAGUGCUCAAAAUAUAUAUCCAUUUGUAUGUUUUAACUUUUAGGUAUGUAGCUAAAGAAAAUAUAAAUAAUGACUUAAAUACACAGACUGAGCUUAACAAUAUAGUUAUAGAUAAUGGAGAAGAAAAAAAGGGAUGGUGCUGUUAUAAGUAAAGAUAUUAAUGAUAAAAAUGUUGGUUUAGAAAAAGAAGAAAGUAAGAUGUUUAUUGAAAAAGAAUUAACAGAAGAUAAAAUAGGAAUGUAUAAAUCUAAUUUUGACGAUUCUGUUGAAUAUAAUAAAGAACAAAAUGAAAAGAAUGAAGAAAAUGAAAAAAAUGGAGAGAACGAUUUUAGUUUUGGUAAUAGUUUAUCUAUGACGCAGUUAGGUCAAAGUAAUAAUGGUAAGUUACCAAAUCCUAGAAUAGAACAAGUGUUUAAGCCAAAAAUAGUAAAAAAUGUAGAAGUUCAAAAACAUUUACCGAUUUCUGUGGAUGUUCCAGUUCCUUAUAUGGUACCAAAACCAGUUGUAGUGAAUGUACAAGUACCUGUAUUGAAAUUUAGAGAUACGUUUGUACCUGUACCAGUUAGAAAAAGAAUUAUUCCAAAAAUUACAUGGAUUAAGCAAACUUAUCAGGUUGAUUGUAUUAAAGAAAGACCAUAUUUAAAAAUACAAGAUGUAAUUAAACCAGUUCCAUGUGAAGCAAAAAUAACUAGUAAAAAAUAUAUCGAUAGAGCUUAUGCAAUUAACCCAAACGAGUUACCUCAGGACGAUAUCCAUGGCAUGUGGAUGAGAGUAAAUGCUCACUUGGCUGAUCAAAUGAAGAAGGAGUAUGGUGAUAUGUUCCCGUAUUAUAAAAACGAUGAAGAAAACGAAAAAAGAAGUGACAAAUCGUCGGAGGGACAUGAGGAAAACACCUCAAAUGAAAAUUCCAAUGAAGAUAGUAAUGGGAAUUUAGACACAUGGUCUUCUACAGAUCCAAAUAAUGGUGCUGAACACCAAACAGAUAAACAUAACUUCGUAGAUAAAAACAACCAAUAUAGUGAACACGAAAUUAAUAAUGACAGUAGAGACAAUAGAGAUAAUCGAGAAAGUUUAGAAUUUACAGGAGAAAGAAUAUAUUUAAAUUCUAAUGAAGAAAAUGCUAUUAAUAAUAUAAAUGUAGAAAAUAACAACAGUAAUAAAAUAAAUAAAAGAGAAAAUAGUAGUGAACAUAUAAAUAAUGAGUUGAAUCAAUAUAGUUUUAUUAAUACAAGAAAUGAAAUAGAAAAUAAUAGUAAUGAUUAUUCUUAUAAUAAAGAUGAACAAGCUGAAACAAAUAUAACAAAACAUAAUAUAUAUUCUACAUAUAAAAACGACAACAGCGAGAAUAACGAGGAUAAUAAUGUAGACGUUAGUGGAGAUGUUAGUGGAGAUAAUAACAAGUUUUGUUUAAGUAAGUUAUGUUGUAAAAAAAACAAAUAA
rnacentral:lncRNA from 1 species